rnacentral:antisense_RNA from 1 species
GCAGUGUUUUGAGGCAGAGCUGAUCAAGGGAACCUCAACAAACAACCCCCGCGAUGGAGGCGGUGGUGUCUCUGAAGACCGCAUGAGGGCAUCAAACAAGGGAGAGCCUGGAACAAAUCAUGGUAGUAAAAUGGCGGCAGAGAGCUGGUAAUGUGUCUGGAAUUGGUGGGUUCUUGGUCUCACUGACUUCAAGAAAGAAGCCGCGGACCCUGCCGGUGGUGUCUUUGGUGGCUGUUCACCCUUCCACAGUAAACACGCUUGGGAAGCAACUUUGCCAAAAGCCUUCUGACAGUCCAGCGUCAACAACGCAAGCCAAGUGGAGGAGAAAAAUCUGCGCCUCUUCCUCUCAAGGGAUACUUUGUCUCUGGGGUACUUUCUGACCCAGUGGACCCCUGGCAGAAGUAAGCGUGGACUGUGGCUACAGGACCACGCAGAGUCAGCACGAACCGAAGCCAGGCCUUGGUCACGGCAGCUCCGGGGUCCAACCACUUCAUCAAUGCAGGAAAUGCUUUGAUGGCAGAAUUCUUCCAUAGCCAGCUUCUCAUAUUCUCUGGGACAGACACAAACCAAGAAAAAUGAGUGUGGUGCAGAAUCUGAUGUGUCCUUCCUGUACCCCCUGCUGGUAGCAAAAAGUAUGUUUUGAACUUUGUUACACACAGUUUGGGUAGUAACAGACUGAACGAAAGCUAAGGAAGCUUGGGAGCCUAAGUUCAAUGACAAAUGAAGAACUAAGGCAGAGAAAAAAGAGAAUUGAGAAAGUGUCUGGGUGUGUGGAGAUGUUGGGGGAAUAGAGAGGGAGGAGAUAUAAUUGGCCAGAUAACUUGAGAGUGGGAGAGGAGUGCAAACAUUAUUUUUGAGGCGCUUUGUUGGGUAUUUAAAAUGCACUCCUACCUUUGGCAUUUUCUCAAAAGGCAGGAAAGAUUUGUUUUCAAUUCUAUUUUUCUGCUGGACUGAACCAGUGCCAAGACUGGACCAUGUAGGAUCCUGGGUUUAUUUCAGUUACAUAAGCAAACGUUGCUGUGAUUUGGAACAGUCAAAGCCAUGAAUGUUUCUCAACUUCCAUUUUGUCAGCUGCUUGAGUUUCUAUUCUGAGAGGUGCUAACUGUUAACAUUGUUAUUCACUUGUGUUCCCUAAAUCACUUUUAAUUAGUUUUAAUUUGAACCAAGAAUGUUCUACCGUUGAAACUAUGUCAAGAAUGAUCAAAAAUGAAAUUAAUAAAGAAUUCACUUCAGAAAAAAAUUUGCACUAAUAUUACAGUAUUUUAUAAUAUCUAUCUCAGCAGAGUCACAGAUAAUUUAGAAUUUUUAAUUUUGUUUUUAAGUGAUUUUCCUCAAAGCAAUAAUAGCCUUGGUAAAGAGUUUAGUUAAACAUUAUUUUUCACCUCUCAUGCAUUUUGUGUAAUGAAAUUUUUCUAUCAUCUUCCAGUGGAAUUAAUUGCAUUGGUGCAAAAAAUGCAAUCAAAUCAAUGACUGAAUUUAGCCUUUGAAAACUCACGUCUAGCUGGGAUAGUUACUAUAUUCAUUACACACUGAAAAACGAUAAGCAGUAAUCUUUUCUGCUAAAAAACUGCCAAAGAUAAGUUUUUCAGGGCUCUCAAAAUAUCCUAAAGCUGACAAUACAAGAAAUGUUAAAAUAUUGUUGGAAUUUUUAACAGAAUCUUCCUUCUCUUUUUUUCCUGUUCUUUAAGACAGUGGUAGUUAGUUGUCCACUAAUCGUUACUACAUGAUUUUCUAACAAAGACUUGCAUAUCCUUUUGGCUAAAAAGUGGCCAAAUAUCAGAGAGCUAGAAGUUUGGGAGACAGCCUUUAGUCUUUUCCAAAGCAUAUAAGCCCUUUGGAAUCCUUUUGGGUAAAUGGCGAAGAUUAAACAGAAUUCAUAAAGGGUUUCUGAUACAUAGUAGAAUGUGCCUGUGAGGACGCUACACAUGAUAAUAACCUAAGCAUGCUCUCUUUUAGUCCCAAAACGUGUAGAGUAAUGUCACAUGAAAUUUACAGGAGGCCAUUGACUGGGACCGAGCUCCUGCACUAGGCCUAACAGACCAAACCAAAAUGGAGCCACUCGUACUGAAGUUCACACCACCAAGCCAAAACUAAGUUGUUUAUCUGAUCUUCCAAGAAAUCAAGAAAGACAGGGAGAUAACAGCCCAAUCCCCAAACAGGCCAGUUUUUGCUGGCAUGAUAGGAAGGCCCCUCUGCUUCAACCUUUCCAAAGAAAGUAACUUGGAAACAACCAAUCUGCUUUUUGUUCUCCGUUUCUGCUUUCCUCAACCAUUUUCUGACCAUAAAACCAACAUCCUCUGCUCGGCUCAUGGGAACACUCAUUCUAUUUUGUAGAAUGAGGUGUUGCCCGAUAUUCUAGAUUUGCAAAUAAAAGCCAAUUAAGAUCUUUAAAUUAAA